AACAACAUGCAUCUACUUUUUAGUAGCUUAUCUCAUCAGAACUCCACAGUUAAGUAUAAUUGACUUGGAGUAAUAUAGGGAUGGGUGACCUUCUGGGAAGUUUCCCAGAAAUUGUUC
rfam:Cajanus cajan Scaffold000208_21, whole genome shotgun sequence.